UGCUGGAAGCAACCGUGACCAGUAUUUUAUCUAUAAAUUAUCAUUUGUAAUAUCUAACGCGUAAAUUCGACCAAUUUUUCUCAUCAAAAAUAUAUCUUACUUUAGAAAUUGAGAAAAAAAAAGAUCAAUUUUCGAACCACUCUCUCGAUAUAACGUGCAAAAGUGUCAGAAGCUUUGUACCACUUUAUAUCGCGCAUUCAGAUAGAAAAAAAAAAAUUAUUUUUACCUUCCCCAUUCCAAAUCAGUACUUGGAUCGAUCCUCUCAAAUCCGCGACUCCGGGAAAAGUUUCUAAGAGAAGCCUUCUUAUUUUCAGUCAUCAUAUUCCUUUGACGUUCAGACGAACCGUGAAAUUAUAACGAAUAGUCUCGACGGCAAUUUUAUUACGCCCAUUAUUAAUGUUAUCACCUUUUUAUUCACUUAAACCAUUAGAUUAAAACUUCAAAACUAAUUUCAUGAAAACAACAAUAAAUUUCCCACUCAACUCAUUGACCACAAUGUCUUCUAGAGAGCUUUGCACGGAAUGACGAGAUCAGCGAUGUUUGAAACGCGUCUAACAGCCUUUACAGGCAUUCACUCACAUUUAGACAGAGUAUUGACAUACCGUUAGUACGACUACAAUUUCUUGUUUGUAGGUAUGUCAACUUAUCUCUCCCAAACUUAUUUAGGUCUCCCAAAGUUUCGUUUCGAUUGAAUUUUCGAUCUAUAUGUUAUCUGUCCGUCAUUUUAGAAACCUUUUUACACUGCUGCAUAUAUUUUAUAUAAGAAGACAACACAUGGAUCCAUGAAUCCCUUGGAAAUUAUUACCAGACACGAAAUUUAGCGAGGUUUGACCUUAAGCUAGACAGAACAGAUUCAAGCGAUAUUUAAGGUAGAAGAUCAUCUCCGAGUUCUUCGUCUCCAAAGUCUUCGUCUUUCUUCCCUGCCGAAGUCAUGGGGCGCGAAGGCAGAGGACCGACAGGAUCCGAAUAAUUAGUAUCUGUAAAAAUUAGAGCUUGGAUUUCGUAAUCUAUUUACGAGAAAAAAAAAGAGAACCAGCAAAACGAAGCUGAAAAUGUUUCCAGAGUCGCUCAGUGGCGCGCAAAAUUUUCACUCGCGUCGCAAGAUCAUCACUGCAACAAUCAGUAGAGUGUUAAAGAAGACAUAUGUGAGCCAGGAAUAGAAUCUGUGGACGAGUUAGGUACAUCUAUCAUCCAGUCAAUCCAUUAAGAUCCCCAGCUGUAAAUAAAUCAAGAGUAGCGUUUGGAUACCCCACUUAGGUGAUAGAAUUCACUGUAAAAAUCGUAUCCAUUGAAAUCGCAGAUUGUGCAAAAGAGAUGGUGGACUUAGUUAGGUGUGAAUUCCAAUGGACUUUCAAGCAUGGCCAAACGAUUCGCUCUAACCGGACCUCCGUUGUAGAGUCCUUGCUGAUCAUUCCUCCCCGACGUAGGACUGGUUUGAUGCUCCGACCUGAUGCUGAGCCCAGAACCAGCUCGUGACGAUGUGCCACUGUUACUUCGUCGGGAGCCUGGAUUCGAACAAGACAGUUUAAACUCGACGAAUAAACUUAAUUGAAUAUUUUGUUCACCAUAAUUAUUCAGGAGUUGAAAACCGAACUAUAUUAAUAGCUCACUUGUAGUUCCCGGGCGACCUGAUCCCUGUCUUUCCUUAAGCUCUUUAGUCUUCUCAGCUUUUUUGAGCUCAGCCGCAUACAGCUGUGCUUCUUUCAGACCCAAAUCACUGCACAGUCGAACUAAGAACUUAAGGCACUCGAUAUUUUCAGGGAAUUUCUUAUGGAUGUCUUGAUAUUCUGUAAGAGCUUUGUGAAACUGGCCGGUUCUCCUUAAACAUGCCGCGGCAAGUAGCCGCCAUCUCGGUUGAUCAGGUGCCAAUUCAACGGCACGUUCAAAGUAUAUUAGUGCUUUUUCUGCCACCUAAGAAUCAACAAUUGUCGAUAAUGGAAACAAAAAAUGCAGAAUAAAAUGAAAUAUAGAAAUAUA
rnacentral:lncRNA from 1 species